CGGUGCGUAGCGCAGUCUGGUAGCGUACUAGUCUGGGGGACUAGGGGUCGUAGGUUCAAAUCCUGCCGCACCGACCA
rnacentral:tRNA from 1 species